rnacentral:rRNA from 1 species
GACGAACGCUGGCGGCGUGCCUAAUACAUGCAAGUAGGACGCAGUUGCGAACGGGUGCGUAACGCGUAGGUAACUGCCUAUUCGAGGGGGAUAACUAUUGGAAACGAUAGCUAAUACCGCAUACUAGUAGAUGGACCUGCGUUGUAUUAGCUAGUAGGUAGGGUAAUGGCCUACCUAGGCAACGAUACAUACCCUACCUGAGGUGUGGAUCGGCCAAACUGGGACUGAGACAAGGCCCCGACUCCUACGGGAGGUAGCCGGAGGUAAUCGUCGGCAAUGGGGGGAACCCUGACCGAGCCACGCCGCGGGAGUGAAGAAGGUUUUCGGAUCGUAAAGCUCUGUUGUUAAGGAAGCGGUACUUAACCAGAAAGGGACGGCUAACUACGUGCCAGCAGCCGCGGUAAUUC